ACUUCAUAUUGUGAGUUAUGACCAUACCAGAGAUUCUCUGGCUGUGUCUAGUCUUGGUGUGUCAUUGUAUUAAUGCGCCACAGGAGAAGCACUUUGUUUUCGGUUGAAAAAAGCGGCGGAUGAAUGUGUAGAGCGGGACCACGAAUGCAAGCACAGCCAAGCCAGAGGGAAAGAGACCGUCGCCAAGCAGCGUGAGUUUACAUCAAUGGCACCGUACAGCAGCCAACCUCUCAGUGAUGGAUAAUUAAUGUGGAAGUGCAAAGAAUGCUCUCUGGAACUAGCUAGCAGAUCAGGACUGAAGGUGUUGGUGUUUGGAACAGGGAGCAUUCUGUUGGCUUUGAACUGUGAUUCCCCACUAGAGAGGUUGGCCUGAUUGAGCUUGAUGACUUGAAGGACAUGACUCCGCUUGUGGCGUACUUUGUCAUUAUUAAAGAUCAGAACUGAAGGUGUUGGUGCUUCAUACAGGGAGCAUUCCGUUGGCUUUGAACUGUGAUUCCCCACUAGAGAGGUUGGCCUGAUUGAGCUUGGUGACUUGAAGGACCCGACUUCACUUGUUGCGAAAAUUGUCAAGGGUAAGUGACAUUGUUAAUAAACGGUGUAGCCAAACUGAUGCAUCGUUUGAUAUUAGCCCAAUAAUAAAUACAUCGCUAUUAGUGUUGUCCAAUGUGGUGAUAAUUUUUUUGGAUCUCUGUAUAGAAGAUAAUGGUGAAAAUGGAUGCUUUUAAAAUAUAUUUUUAGGUUGGAAACGAUAAGGGUCAUUUUAAUUUUUUUUAUUGAUGACUGUAUUGUCAAAACUGUGUGUGGCUUUGGUCUCAGACCUUAAUAUCAGUUGGUUGCCACUAAAUAACCUAGGUGUUUACCUUGCUCUUGUACAGUAUGAACUAUUUGCAUUUAAUAUACUGUAUAUUACUAAUGUAGUAUUUUCGUGUUCUACUUUUGUUUUAGAUCAGGACAGGAGGUGUUUAACUAUGUCCAAUCCAGCUGUUCUACGGGUCAUUUUUGGUGAUGGAACUGACUCCAGGAAAUUGCACAUGGUUUCUGGAAUUCCAAAAACUGUGGACGAAGUACAUGAUCUUGUGAAAGCAAGCUUUCAAUUGCAUCAAGACUUUCAUUUGCAGUAUAUGGAUUCUGACUUCAAAGAGUUCAUGAAUCUCACCUCAGUGUCUGAAAUCCAAAAUAUGGGUACACUCAACGUAAUCUACACACCACUCGAGGAGCCCUUCAUCUCUUUAUACACAGUGGAACCAACUGCUUUGUGUUCCCCAGUCCCGAACACUGAGAGUUCAUCAUUGGCCUCAUCAAGCAGUGAUGCCACCUUGUGUACAUCAACUCCACACUCUUCCCCAGAGGUUCAUACAUCAGGAUUGUCCUGGCCCCUGGUUUUUGUUGUCCCAAAGUUUUCCUAUGAAGCGGAACUGGAGCUACAACAAAAGAACACUGAAUUUGAAACAAAGGGAACAUACUUCAAUCCUGGCCCGAAACUUAAAGGAAUCAUCCUUAAUGGCCUGGCACAAGAGAUGAUGAAAUACACCAAGUAUCCGAAGGAUUACCAGUGUGAGGAAGUAGCAGCUGCUUUGAC